GGGAGUACGAACGCAAGUUUGAAACUCAAAGGAAUUGACGGGGGCCCGCACAAGCGGUGGAUUAUGUGGUUUAAUUCGAUGAUACGCGAGGAACCUUACCAAGGCUUAAAUGGGAAUUGAUCGGUUUAGAAAUAGACCUUCCUUCGGGCAAUUUUCAAGGUGCUGCAUGGUUGUCGUCAGCUCGUGCCGUGAGGUGUUAGGUUAAGUCCUGCAACGAGCGCAACCCCUGUCACUAGUUGCCAUCAUUCAGUUGGGGACUCUGGUGAGACUGCCUACGCAAGUAGAGAGGAAGGUGGGGAUGACGUCAAAUCAUCACGGCCCUUACGCCUUGGGCCACACACGUAAUACAAUGGCCGGUACAGAGGGCAGCUACACAGCGAUGUGAUGCAAAUCUCGAAAGCCGGUCUCAGUUCGGAUUGGAGUCUGCAACUCGACUCUAUGAAGCUGGAAUCGCUAGUAAUCGCGCAUCAGCCAUGGCGCGGUGAAUACGUUCCCGGGCCUUGUACACACCGCCCGUCAAGCCAUGGAAGUCUGGGGUACCUGAAGUCGGUGACCGUAAAAGGAGCUGCCUAGGGUAAAACAGGUAACUAGGGCUAAGUCGUAACAAGG
rnacentral:rRNA from 1 species